rnacentral:lncRNA from 1 species
AUGGGAAAGGGAGUCCGGCAAAGCCGAGUCCUUCUGGGGAUCGCGUUUCCACUUCCGAUGUUUAGUGGACGUCCGAACGCCCGGACUCCGGGUCCAGGCAAGCGGUUCGAGGGUCCUCUGGGGACGUUGCGCGGCCGCGGAGAAGGGGCCGCGGGCCCCGGCCCCCAGAGUCGCAGGGCCUUGGAGGGUGCGCGCGGCCGCCGCUUAAGACCCUGGCCACCCUCGCCGGUGGGCGUGGCCGGACCGACACCCAGGGUCCCGCAGCCUCCGCCCCGGCCCCGCGGCCCCGCGGGCGAGGUGUGGCCCUCGUGCUGGCGGCGCCCUCCUUCGCGCCGCCCACCGGACUCAGCGGCGACGACCUGGCCUUGUAGCCGCCGAGGCGACCCCGUCCCCAGGGCCCGCGUUUACCCCAUAAGGCUUCCAGAGAAGGUCUCCCGAGGAGGAGAGUACCCUUACAGUGCAAUGGGAACUGAGCUGAGACUGCAGAGGUUUCAUCCGGACUUUACAAUCUGCGAAGCCCUAGGACACGCGGGACGGGUCCUGUGAGUUCCCGGUGGAAGACGGCAGCAGUGAGUUUCGCCAGUUCACUACCACGCGGAGGGGUUUCCCAGUGAACCCCAUGCAAUGCGUACUUUUUACAGUGCCGGGAUCUUGAUUUGAAACUAGUCACCCAUUACCUUGCUCAAGAGUGUUCUGGCUACCUCGGUGCGCGGCCCGAGCGGGGCGCUGCGGGCUUUAGUUUUUAGCUCUCCUCCAGCUCCAGCCCUUAACCCUGGCUUCAAAGCUUCUGACAGGCAAGCAGGCGGCUUUUGGAAGCUGUUCACUUGGAGACCCCUCAAGAUAAAAACAAUAAAGUGAUAACUGGGACUCCAUGAAAUUCACCUCUAUAUGAAAGUUGCAAUAGAUGACAAUCAAAUUAUGCAUUGCAAAACUGAAGAGGCACAUAGCAGAAAUACCUGUUCUUAUUCUCUUAUUCUCAAGUACAGAGAGUAAGUAAGAGUUGGGUUUCAGGGCACCGAUCCUAAGAGCCGAAGCUGAUGCAAGUAUAUUAGCCCUUUAAAUAAGUGAAUUCCAAGUGAAUCCUGUGAGUGGGAUGGUCAAAAGGUGAGCCGUUUUCAUCGAGUUAUCACAGACUCAGCCCCAGGGCGGAGAGUCGGAGAGACUCUGUCACAGCACCAAACCCUGCUGAGGGGCGUGUGAGCCCCUCCCCUCCUGUUCAGCCCCGAAUCCCCCCCCACCCCGCUCCACUGGCUCUGUCACUCUGUCAGCUCUGCUUCUCCCGCACAGAACAGGACCCCGGCUCCCCAGGCCUCCCGCACGGCUCGGCUCGGGGAAGGCAGAGCCAAUCCACACCAGCCCCUUCCCGGCGGAUUCGGGGAGGCAGGCCCCUCGCUAGGCCCUGUAUUGUGGGGUGUCAGCCGCUCCCCUCCUGAGGCGUGGGGAGACGCACAGAGCUGGGACUGCGGCCCUGAUCCAUCUGCCU